UACGAAGGGGGCUAGCGUUGUUCGGAAUUACUGGGCGUAAAGCGCGCGCAGGCGGUCUUCCAAGUCAGUGGUGUAAGCCCGGAGCUCAACUCCGGAACUGCCAUUGAAACUGUGAGACUUGAGUAUGAGAGAGGUGAGUGGAAUUCCCAGUGUAGAGGUGAAAUUCGUAGAUAUUGGGAAGAACACCGGUGGCGAAGGCGGCUCACUGGCUCAUUACUGACGCUCAGGCGCGACAGCGUGGGGAUCAAACAGG
rnacentral:rRNA from 1 species